rnacentral:rRNA from 1 species
GGACUACCCGGGUAUCUAAUCCUGUUUGCUCCCCACGCUUUCGCGCCUCAGCGUCAGAACUGGCCCAGCGAGCCGCCUUCGCCACCGGUGUUCUUCCUGAUCUCUACGCAUUCCACCGCUACACCAGGAAUUCCACUCGCCUCUACCAGUCUCUAGCCGGACAGUCCCGCGUGCCGUUCCGGGGUUGAGCCCCGGGAUUUCACACGCGGCUUACCCAGCCGCCUACACGCCCUUUACGCCCAGUGAUUCCGGACAACGCUCGCACCCUCUGUAUUACCGCGGCGGCUGGCAC